GGUGUCUUCCCUCCACUCCAUCUUAGCCCCCAGGGAUGGACAUCCAGGGGAAGCAGCCCCACUUCCUGUGUCUACUCCUCAUGGACAUUGUGGGAGCUCCAUUUUCUUCAACAGAAGAUAUGAAUCAAGCAAUCUGAGGGCCUAGAUGGGGAGAAAAGGGCCCUGAAACAGGGAGAGAUGAAUGUAGCCACCAGCUCUCUGUUUUUUUCUUUAGAGGGGCAGGGAGUCAUUCAACCUAAGAAUUUUUCCUUGCUGUCUUGCAUAUCCCAACAGGCCUCCCUUCAUUCUUACAGUGUGACUGACCUAAAUUGAAAAUAUGAAGAGGACCCAUGGGCUAAAAGGCUAAUUUUUCAUUGUCGGUAUAUACUAAAUUUGUUUAUCCAUCAUCUGUCCAUUGACAGUUGGUUGCCUCCACCCUUUGACUAUUGUGAACAGUGCUGCUAUGAACAUGAGUGUGCAAAUAUACUUUCAAGAUCCUGGUUUCAAUUCUUUUGAGAUUACCCAGAAGUAGAAUCAGUGGAACAUACGGAAGAAGAUUAUGGGCAAGUACUGCAAGAACUGGCAACAGUCUCAUAUUAUGUGGACAACUCUACAAUGCAUGUUUGUUUGGGCUCUCCCUUUUCGCUGCUCCAAACUCCCUGUCCCUGACUUUUGCUUACUGGGUCCAGUCCCCAGUAGAGUAGCUGCUCUUAGGCUUUUGUCUUAGGAGAACUCAGGGGAACACGUGGCCUAUGCUCUGGCAAUAAAAUCUUCUUGCAUUGUCAGAA